GGACGGCUAGCUCAGUUGGUUAGAGCGCUGCAUUCACAUUGCAGAGGUCGAAGGUUCGAGCCCUUUGCCGUCCA
rnacentral:tRNA from 1 species